UACGAAGGGGGCUAGCGUUGCUCGGAAUCACUGGGCGUAAAGCGCACGUAGGCGGAUUGUUAAGUCAGGGGUGAAAUCCUGGAGCUCAACUCCAGAACUGCCUUUGAUACUGGCGAUCUAGAGUCCGGGAGAGGUGAGUGGAACUGCGAGUGUAGAGGUGAAAUUCGUAGAUAUUCGCAAGAACACCAGUGGCGAAGGCGGACUCACUGGCCCGGUACUGACGCGUG
rnacentral:rRNA from 1 species